CCCCCCCUUCCGCGGGUGCUGGCGGGCCACUUGUAAGUGUUAUCCCCAAACCGCGGACAAUGGACAAACACUUUUUUGUCAUACGGCUUCCCCCCAUGAGGCUAUAUUCCAUUGUGCAGAAUUCCUCACUGGUGCCGGCCGUGGGAGACUGGCCCGGAUGUUAGUGCCACUGUGGCUCAACAUACUGUUAGACCACCUGCCCGGCGUUUCCCUGGUCAGCCUUUUCCUUACCAACAAGCUGAUACGACAUGAGCCCAUCCUUGAGUGCCAAGCCCACCGCUGGACUUUCCAUCCCCCUCCUAGAAGAAUGAAGCCCAUAGGGUAUUAUCUCACCUUUUAGUGGGUUAUUCCCUUCUCAAGGGCAGGUUACCCAUGCAUUUCUCACCCGUUUGCCACUUUACUACCGGGUUGCCCCGGAUUUCUCGUUCGACUUGCAUGUGUUA
rnacentral:rRNA from 1 species